GACGAACGCUGGCGGCGUGCCUAAUACAUGCAAGUAGAACGCUGAAGGAGGAGCUUGCUUCUCUGGAUGAGUUGCGAACGGGUGAGUAACGCGUAGGUAACCUGCCUGGUAGCGGGGGAUAACUAUUGGAAACGAUAGCUAAUACCGCAUAAGAGUAGAUGUUGCAUGACAUUUGCUUAAAAGGUGCAAUUGCAUCACUACCAGAUGGACCUGCGUUGUAUUAGCUAGUUGGUGGGGUAACGGGUCACCAAGGCGACGAUACAUAGCCGACCUGAGAGGGUGAUCGGCCACACUGGGACUGAGACACGGCCCAGACUCCUACGGGAGGCAGCAGUAGGGAAUCUUCGGCAAUGGACGGAAGUCUGACCGAGCAACGCCGCGUGAGUGAAGAAGGUUUUCGGAUCGUAAAGCUCUGUUGUAAGAGAAGAACGAGUGUGAGAGUGGAAAGUUCACACUGUGACGGUAUCUUACCAGAAAGGGACGGCUAACUACGUG
rnacentral:rRNA from 1 species